CCUACGGGAGGCAGCAGUGGGGAAUAUUGCACAAUGGGGGAAACCCUGAUGCAGCGACGCCGCGUGAGUGAAGAAGUAUUUCGGUAUGUAAAGCUCUAUCAGCAGGGAAGAAAUAGCGACCUUUGGGUCGCCAGACGGUACCUGACUAAGAAGCCCCGGCUAACUACGUGCCAGCAGCCGCGGUAAUACGUAGGGGGCAAGCGUUAGCCGGAUUUACUGGGUGUAAAGGGAGCGUAGACGGCAGCACAAGUCUGAAGUGAAAUGCCGGGGCUUAACCCCGGAACUGCUUUGGAAACUGUGCAGCUAGAGUGCAGGAGAUGUAAGUGGAAUUCCUAGUGUAGUGGUGAAAUGCGUAGAUAUUAGGAGGAACACCAGUGGCGAAGGCGACUUACUGGACUGUAACUGACGUUGAGGCUCGAAAGCGUGGGGAGCAAACAGGAUUAGAUACCCCAGUAGUC
rnacentral:rRNA from 1 species